rnacentral:rRNA from 1 species
AUAAGCGGAGGAAAAGAAACCAACAGGGAUUGCCUCAGUAACGGCGAGUGAAGCGGCAACAGCUCAAAUUUGAAAUCUGGCCCUCGGCCCGAGUUGUAAUUUGUAGAGGAUGCUUCGGGCGUGGUCCGGUCUAAGUUCCUUGGAACAGGACGUCAUAGAGGGUGAGAAUCCCGUACGUGACUGGGUGCCUAAGCCUAUGUGAAGCUCCUUCGACGAGUCGAGUUGUUUGGGAAUGCAGCUCAAAAUGGGUGGUAAAUUUCAUCUAAAGCUAAAUACCGGCCAGAGACCGAUAGCGCACAAGUAGAGUGAUCGAAAGAUGAAAAGCACUUUGGAAAGAGAGUUAAACAGCACGUGAAAUUGUUGAAAGGGAAGCGUUUGCAACCAGACUUGCGCGCGGUCGAUCAUCCGGCGUUCUCGCCGGUGCACUCGGCCGCGCUCAGGGCAGCAUCGGUUCUGGUGGCGGGAGAAAGGUCGCGGGAAUGUGGCUCUUCGGAGUGUUAUAGCCCGCGGCGCCAUGCCGCCCGCCGGGACCGAGGACCGCGCUUCGGCUAGGAUGCUGCCGUAAUGGUUGUAAACGACCCGUCUUGA